ensembl:snoRNA
GUUGCCCUGAAUCAAGGCUGGUAGCUUUGGGAAGAUGUUGGGUUUCAGGAGCAGGUGCCUAAGUGGUAUCUUUCUGUGGUCUGAUGGCCAUUUCAGAACUUCUAGAAGCAUAAGGUCAAUUCCUUAGGAAGAGAGGAAG